rnacentral:tRNA from 1 species
GGUGUAGCUCAGUUGGAAGAGUGCUUGAUUUGCAUGCAAAAGGCCCUGGGUUCAAUCCGCAGCACC